rnacentral:lncRNA from 1 species
CAGAGCGUGUCUUCCAGCUUUGGGCAAUGAGCUCUUUACUGAAAGAGCGAGGAGGAGAGAUCCCGCAAGUUGAAUAAAACCGGACUUUUCUCCUGGAGCCCAGAGGUUUAACAUGCACCAUCUCCCCAGCAAACACAAAUGCCUCCUGUGGGGACAGAAACCACAAUCAAAAGCCCUCGAGCAGCCGCCCUGGCCAACGGCACCUGCCCUGGGGGUCCACGCCCCCAGGUCCCUCCCCGCCGGUAGCUCCUGCCUGGCCCUGGGAAACAUCUUCCCACUUCAGCCCCGAGCAUCCACCCGUCUGCCGCGCUGGAUCAGGCCUCAGCGCUGUGUUCCAGCCUCAUUCCUCAUCCUCUCGCUGAAACGCUCCCGGGAUUUCAGCGCAGCCCCUCAAAACACAACCCAGAAUUUCUUGGUUAAUGGAAGGAUCAGGAAAUGGAUGGCCUGGUUAACGGAGCUUAGAAACUCUUCUUGGAAGUUUUCUGCAAACGUAUUAUUAGUCCAGCACCUUCAGUGGUGGCCAACAUGAGACUCUAUUUCAAAUCCUUGAAUACAGUGGAUCCCUGAAGAAAGGGCAGAGGCCCUCACAGCUUUGGGACAAGAUGAUGACCAUGUUUGAUUUGACAGAAACAGCCCUGUACAUUUUGGACUUGCAGGGACUGUGAA